CCAGGCGAUGCCCCUGCGGCCUGGGGCGGCGGCGUUGGGUGCUGCAGAGCCCGGGAACUUCCCACCCAGAGGAAAGGCCGCUUCAUCCCGGACCCCGCUGUUCUCCGCGCCCCCGGCACUGCCCAUCAGCACCGUGGGUAGGGGUCUUUAGAGCCUCUGCGGGCAGCCCAGGGAGACCACCAACCCAUAGGCCCUUGGGCCCCAGGGAGGCUCAGGUGAGCAGCGCUUGUCCUCCGGACUGUUGGCCGUUCUGGCGGAUCUGCUUCUGUUCCUCGGGCCAGCCGGCUCCACCCCGCGUCUCUGGAUUCCGGGACAUCGGACAUCUGGCUCCCACCACGCCUUGUGCAGGUAACGAAGCUCCCAGCUGCCAGAUAGAUGGAUGCUGAGACUCCCCGUGGGGUGUUCAGGGCCCCCCCUGCAGGAGGGCCCCCCUGGGGCUUCAGGGGGGGAGCAGGGGCAGCCCACACACCUGGCCAAGCGUGUUGAAGAGUGACAGGCCUUCUCCUCGGCCUGCACCUCCCUCUGGGUCAGGCCUGCUCCACCCCCACCGUCUCCCUCCUCGUGGCCGAGGGCCGGGCACCUCUCACUACUGGUCUUGUGUCAGCUGCUGCCCAGACUCUGCCUCUCCCAGGCCGGCCCAGCCAGGAUCCUCCGCAGUGACGAGCCUGCCCCCUGCGCCCCCGAGGAAUCCAAUAAAUCUUUGUGAAACCAGCUACCCGAGUGCAGUGUGGACUUAUUGGAAACAUCUAAUUUCCAAACAUUUCAUCCUGCCCUUCUGCACGCUGGCGGGCAGCCCUAAGCAAGGUAGGGCGUGUCCGCGGCCGGGCAGAGUGAGGUCUUCGAG
rnacentral:lncRNA from 1 species